CUUGAUGCUAUAUAAUACAAAAGAAUUCCCAUGUAUUGAUGGUCUGUAUAUUUAUAUUGAUUGAAGAAUCUGUAUGCAUUGUACAUGAUGCUAUUAGAAUCAUUCUACAUUAGAGAAUGUUCUACAUAAGAGAAUGCCUGUACUAAGUCAGGAAUAUUGCAGUUGUUAUUCAUUCGUUUGAUGUGUUUCAGCAUUUGAUUUUGCCAUUCCGUUUUGAAUUUUCC
rnacentral:lncRNA from 1 species